GGAGAGGAGGCCUAACUGGUAAGGCGGCAGUCCCGAAAACUGCCGAGAUAAAACUCAUCGGGGAUCGAUUCCCCUGGCUCUCCG
rnacentral:tRNA from 1 species